rnacentral:sRNA from 1 species
UGAACUAUCUGCUCUUUUUUUUUUUUUUUUUUUUGUUUUUCAAUUUCAGUUGUUGUUGCUUGGUCCUUUAAUGUUCUAUAACAUUCCCUGCCAGAUAGGGAUCGACCAUAUAUCUUUAGGAUGAUAUUUUCAUUUAUUUAUACUGUUAUCACUUCCACUAAUUAUGGAAUGUUAUAUAUUCUGGGGCCGUCCUUUAUAAAGGGAUCAUGACAACUUUGGUGUUAACCUUCGAGAAUACUUGGGUCUAAGGUGUAUCUAAUGCACAAGCAUGAGUGUAUGUAUGUACAGCAUCGACACUCGACGCUACAUCAGGGGGAUAAAUGACAUUGAUGAGGAAAAUCCCCCAAUGGCAUUGAAACUGCAUGUAAACAAAG